GAUGAACGCUAGCGACAGGCUUAACACAUGCAAGUCGAGGGGCAGCAGGGGAGUAGCAAUACUCCCGCUGGCGACCGGCGCACGGGUGAGUAACACGUAUGCAACCUGCCCUUGUCAGGGGGAUAAGCGGAAGAAAUUCCGUCUAAUACCGCAUAAUGCUGCGGGGAGACAUCUCCCUGCAGCCAAAGAUUUAUCGGACAAGGAUGGGCAUGCGGCGCAUUAGCUGGUUGGCGGGGUAACGGCCCACCAAGGCGACGAUGCGUAGGGGUUCUGAGAGGAAGGUCCCCCACACUGGUACUGAGACACGGACCAGGCUCCUACGGGAGGCAGCAGUGAGGAAUAUUGGUCAAUGGCCGGGAGGCUGAACCAGCCAAGUCGCGUGAGGGAAGACGGUCCUAUGGAUUGUAAACCUCUUUUGUCAGGGAGCAAAAACUGCCACGCGUGGCAGGAUGAGAGUACCUGAAGAAAAAGCAUCGGCUAACUCCGUGCCAGCAGCCGCGGUAAUACGGAGGAUGCGAGCGUUAUCCGGAUUUAUUGGGUUUAAAGGGUGCGUAGGCGGACAGUUAAGUCAGCGGUAAAAUUGAGAGGCUCAACCUCUUCCCGCCGUUGAAACUGAUUGUCUUGAGUGGGCGAGAAGUAUGCGGAAUGCGUGGUGUAGCGGUGAAAUGCAUAGAUAUCACGCAGAACUCCGAUUGCGAAGGCAGCAUACCGGCGCCCAACUGACGCUGAAGCACGAAAGCGUGGGUAUCGAACAGGAUUAGAUACCCUGGUAGUCCACGCAGUAAACGAUGAAUACUAAUUGUUCGGGUCGAAUGAGAUCUGAGUGAUACAGCGAAAGCGUUAAGUAUUCCACCUGGGGAGUACGCCGGCAACGGUGAAACUCAAAGGAAUUGACGGGGGCCCGCACAAGCGGAGGAACAUGUGGUUUAAUUCGAUGAUACGCGAGGAACCUUACCCGGGCUCAAACGACACAGGAAUGAUCUGAGAAAUCAGGCAGUCCUCCGGGACCUGUGUCGAGGUGCUGCAUGGUUGUCGUCAGCUCGUGCCGUGAGGUGUCGGCUUAAGUGCCAUAACGAGCGCAACCCCCAUCGACAGUUGCCAGCAGGUGAAGCUGGGCACUCUGUCGAGACUGCCGGCGCAAGCUGUGAGGAAGGCGGGGAUGACGUCAAAUCAGCACGGCCCUUACGUCCGGGGCGACACACGUGUUACAAUGGCAGGUACAGCGGGAAGCCACCUGGCGACAGGGAGCGGAACCCGAAAGCCUGUCUCAGUUCGGAUUGGAGUCUGCAACUCGACUCCAUGAAGCUGGAUUCGCUAGUAAUCGCGCAUCAGCCACGGCGCGGUGAAUACGUUCCCGGGCCU
rnacentral:rRNA from 1 species